rnacentral:rRNA from 1 species
GUGGUCUGCAACUCGACCACACGAAGCUGGAAUCGCUAGUAAUCGCGAAUCAGCAUGUCGCGGUGAAUACGUUCCCGGGCCUUGUACACACCGCCCGUCACACCAUGAGAGUUGGGAAUACCCGAAGCCUGUGAGCCAACAAACGAGGCAGCAGUCGAAGGUAGAAUCAAUGAUUGGGGUGAAGUCGUAACAAGGUAGC